rnacentral:rRNA from 1 species
GAUGAACGCUGGCGGCGUGCCUAAUACAUGCAAGUCGAGCGAACGGAUGAGAAGCUUGCUUCUCUGAUGUUAGCGGCGGACGUGUGAGUAACACGUGGAUAACCUCCCUAUCAGACUGGUAUCACUUCGGGAAACCGGAGCUUAUCCCGUAUAAUAUUUUGCACCGCAUGGUUCAAAAGUGAAAGACGGUCUUGCUGUCACUUAUAGAUGGAUCCGCGCUGCAUUAGCUAGUUGGUAAGGUAACGGCUUACCAAGGCAACGAUGCAUAGCCGACCUGAGAGGGUGAUCGGCCACACUGGAACUGAGACACGGUCCAGACUCCUACGGGAGGCAGCAGUAGGGAAUCUUCCGCAAUGGGCGAAAGCCUGACGGAGCAACGCCGCGUGAGUGAUGAAGGUCUUCGGAUCGUAAAACUCUGUUAUUAGGGAAGAACAUAUGUGUAAGUAACUGUGCACAUCUUGACGGUACCUAAUCAGAAAGCCACGGCUAACUACGUG